rfam:Heterocephalus glaber contig16546, whole genome shotgun sequence.
GGGGGUGUGGCUCAGUAGUAGAGCACUUGCCUAGCAUGCAAAAGACCCUGGGUUCAGUCCCCAGCACUGCAA